rnacentral:rRNA from 1 species
AUUGAACGCUGGCGGCAGGCCUAACACAUGCAAGUCGAACGAGUGGCGGACGGGUGAGUAAUGUCUGGGAAACUGCCCGAUGGAGGGGGAUAACUACUGGAAACGGUAGCUAAUACCGCAUACCAUCGGAUGUGCCCAGAUGUGAUUAGCUUGUAGGUGAGGUAACUGCUCACCUAGGCGACGAUCCCUAGCUGGUCUGAGAGGAUGACCAGCGACACUGGAACUGAGACACGGUGUAGACUCCGAUGGGACGCAGCAGUGGGGAAUAUGUCACAAUUUGCGCAAGGUGGAUGCAGCGAUGCCGCGGGUAUGGAGAAUGCCUUCGUGUUUUCAAGUACUUUCAGCGGGGAGGCGUUACCCGCAGAAGAAGCACCGGCUAACUCCGUGCCAGAGCCGCGGUAAUUC